AACCCAUGGUGAGGGCACCUUCUCAACAAAUCCUUGCAUCUCUCCCAUGCAUCGUAGAGUGUUUUUAAAUUCAUCUGCACAAAAGAGGAGAUAUCAUUAUGUAAUU
rnacentral:snoRNA from 1 species